rnacentral:rRNA from 1 species
CCGCUGAACUUAAGCAUAUCAAUAAGCGGAGGAAAAGAAACCAACAGGGAUUACCUCAGUAACGGCGAGUGAAGCGGUAACAGCUCAAAUUUGAAAUCUGGGCCUCUCAGGCCCCGAGUUGUAAUUUGUAGAAGAUGCUUCGGGUGCGGCUCCGGUCUAAGUUCCUUGGAACAGGACGUCAUAGAGGGUGAGAAUCCCGUAUGUGAUCGGCUGCUUGCGCCCAUGUGAAGCUCUUUCGACGAGUCGAGUUGUUUGGGAAUGCAGCUCAAAAUGGGUGGUAAAUUUCAUCUAAAGCUAAAUAUUGGCCAGAGACCGAUAGCGCACAAGUAGAGUGAUCGAAAGAUGAAAAGCACUUUGGAAAGAGAGUUAAACAGUACGUGAAAUUGUUGAAAGGGAAGCGCUUGCAACCAGACUUGCGCGUUGCCGAUCAUCCGGGGUUCUCCCCGGUGCACUCGGCCUCGCUCAGGCCAGCAUCGGUUUCGGUGGUGGGAUAAAGGCCUUGGGAAUGUAGCUCCUCUCGGGGAGUGUUAUAGCCCUCGGUGCAAUGCCGCCUACCGGGACCGAGGACCGCGCUUCGGCUAGGAUGCUGGCGUAAUGGUUGUAAGCGACCCGUCUUGAAACACGGACCAAGGAGUCUAACAUCUAUGCGAGUGUUUGGGUGUCAAACCCAUACGCGUAAUGAAAGUGAACGGAGGUGAGAACCCUUAAGGGUGCAUCAUCGACCGAUCCUGAUGUCUUCGGAUGGAUUUGAGUAAGAGCAUAGCUGUUGGGACCCGAAAGAUGGUGAACUAUGCCUGAAUAGGGUGAAGCCAGAGGAAACUCUGGUGGAGGCUCGCAGCGGUUCUGACGUGCAAAUCGAUCGUCAAAUUUGGGUAUAGGGGCGAAAGACUAAUCGAACCAUCUAGUAGCUGGUUCCUGCCG